AGCGAAAAGGGGGCGAUUCUACGCAAAAAAAGAAAUCGAAAAUAUAGAAUAAAUAUCUUUUUUUAAUUUUUCCAUCGAGACAACGAUCUACAGUGAAAUCCGUUAUAACGAGACGCGAUAAAGUGCACGCGUACCGAGCGAAAAUUCAAAGUCGAUUUUCUCGAAAACAAAGCCUCGAACGAAAAAUUUUUAUUCUAUAUUUCCGACUUCUUUUUUCGCGUAGAAUCACCCCCUUUAUGCUUGUGCCACCAGUUACCAACCACCCUGUAUAUGUUAUUUGGCGUAUAAACAGAGAAACUCGUGGGUGAAUUGUAAGGUAGAAAAUAUAUUUCAAUACAGGAGCGUAAUUAUAAGUAAGAAUACAAUUUGAGCUGGUUCACAUCCACACGCUAGCAGCGUUACCCUGCAACUGAAAACCCCGAAGCCAACGUCGUCUGUCUACUGUUUAUGGUCUGCCUUCGUCGCAGUCUUUUGUCUAUACGCUGUCAAUAGCUUCGGUGCUUGAGAAAAUUAAAAAGACCAGAUGUAGAGUUCUCAUAGAAGCGGUGUCCACUUCAACAAUAUAUAGCAACCAGAUUAUAGAUUCAAAUUCUAUAAUCCUUGUACAAUUUCUACAAAGACAACGAUUUUAUCGCUAUCUUGUGCCAAGCGUAUUACGCCUAUCGUCUGAUCGAGAAAGAUUAAACGAUCAUAAUUUUCCCAUCUUAUUGAAGCGUUCAAAGCACUGCAGCAACGAAAACGACGAACUACCGAAAGGAUAGAAAGGAAAUAAUGUAGAGAACGCAUUAUACGUAGUACGAAUAAUACGCUACGUUUCUCUAACUUGAAAUCGUUGUAAGAUUUAAUAACCUACAUACAAGAAGAGAAGAAUAUAAUAUUCCUCUGAGGCUCGCAGCCGUAACCCAAUAUAAAAGGACGGCAGACUGCAGAGAAGAUAGCUGGGAUAAUGCUUUGCAAUUAUUCGGCCACAAUCAUGCCGGCGGAAUGAGAACAGCUAGAAACGAGCGCACGAUUACAAAUACAAUACGCGAACGAUAGUAAGUGAAGUUAUAUUUUUGCUCAUUAACGUUUAUCGUUGCUCGAACGAUUUUAAAAAUACAAACCGUGUCGGUAAUUUGGAAUUUCGAUGAAUCGCCUACACAUUUCAAGUAUACAUUUCAAGUAUGUUACGUUAGUCGAGUAAUUUUCCAUCGAAAUGUAUCCAUUUUCCUAUCGUUGAUAAAUUCGUUUAAUUCGUACGAACUGUACGAAAUAAUUGUUAUCGAUUGUCCGGUUUCAAUUUUACCUUCAUACAAUUAUUAAUAAAUAUCGUGGUAAUAUUUAUAUAUUUUAUAUUUGUGUUUCGAUUGUUGUAUUUCAAGUGUACUUACAGUUAGAUCGUCGCGAUACGAAUAUUUGGCAUAAGCACGAUCCGUUUCCAACGUUUUUCGACGAAAGAAGAAUCAUCGAAAUCGAUAGGUGAGAAUUUUUAUCUCGAUCCUUGGAAAUUGGAAGAAAUUUAUAGUAGAAUCUAUCGACGUUUGUUAAAAUUUAUACUCGCGAAGGAAAAUAGGAGGAAAUCGAGUUCUCGCGUGCUUCAUUAUACAGAGAGAAAAAGGUGUCAUUGCUCUAAAACAAUUGCCUGGCCAAUGAAGAAGUAAAAUACGAAAGCUUUCUGAACGAACAAGAACAGUCGAGUGGAAAAAUGACAUAAUUCUCUAAAACUAUAGAUACAAAAAUGUCGAAAUAAUCCAACAUCCUUGUGUAUGUAGAAAUUUACUUUUAUAAAUAUGUUAUCUAUAUUGUUUUAGAAAUAUUUUAUAAAUAGCAAUCUGUUUUAUACAAUAGGUGGUCUAAAAAUCAGUCUCCAUGGUUCUUCCAGCUAAAAAACUGUUUCGAACAAAAGUUAAUCGGCUUUCAGUCGAGUACAGAUUGCAAUAUUAUGAAUUUAAAAAAAAGUCAUGCUUCGAUCAAGAGUCAAUGUCACCGUCAUUUUUUUUUUUUUUUUUUUUUUUUAAAUGGAACAAUGAAUUUUUUUAUAUUCCGUUCGAUUUUAAUUCUAAUUAUGCAUUGUUCCGUUUAAAAGAAUAAACGUCACUCUGACUCUUCAUCGAAGUAAAAACGUCGUUCAAGUCCGCGCGAUAUUGUAUUAUAAUUUGCAAUCGAUCGGUAGCUGAUCGACUUUCCUUCGAAAUAUUCUGUUGUCCGACUAUCGAAAAUAACUGAAAGAUCGUGGCAAUUGAUUUUUAGACCAUCCUUCAUACGGAGUUUCUUAUUUUACGUUUCUGUUUGAACCCGUAGAUCGUUGAAGUUUAAGAAUACAAGCGAUAAAAGCAUAGACAAUAAGAAAUAGAAGAAUUACCUUCUAAGGUCGAGUCCGAGUUGUUGAUUGCGAGUCUAAAUGUUAAGUACGAGAGCUAAAAGAGUGGAGCUCGGUGGUUAGAAAAGUAAACGACAAGGGUAAACGGAAGAGAAAAGUAACUGGAGAUCCGCUGCAGCUCGCAGAGGAAGAGCUAUGAAAAAUAAAUAAAUGAUAUAAUUUAUUUAUUUAUUUUUCAGCUUCGCGGUACAGGAAAGAAGACCUGGCUUACGUAUUUCUAACUCCCACUCGUUGCCAUACUUUAAUUAGGCUAUCCAUCACGUUCAAAGGUCCACACCCAUCCACACUCUCAUCCCAAACACACAUAUUCCCUUUUACAUCUACCAAAUUACAUAUACUAAAUUAAACACAUAUAUCUUUAUUUCUCUUAAGCUACACACACACACACACACACACACACACACACACACACACAUACUGUGCAAUACGUAACCCAUGUAAUAUCGCAGUAAUGUGUUUUCAUAUUUAACGCGAUACAGAUUUCCCUAUCAGAGUUUGACUUUAGCCGAAGUUUCGGUAAAUUGAACAUUUUCUCGUUUGUACCGCGUUCCCUUCAACUUCUCAGCUGUUAGAGCACUUUGGAAAUUCGAAAUGGCUGUAAAGCAAGACCGCGAAAAGCGACGUUCAUUAUGCAACAAGCUAAUGGCGGAGAGUAUUUCUUGGAAUUUAGUAUUUCGUUAUUUGUCAGAAGUUGCUGAUAAAUUAUUCCCAUGCAAUCUCGCCAGACCUACGGUACACGCAACUUUGUAUCGAUUAGGAUACAGGAACGAGCUACGAAUUCUCCGAACAACCCAAUACACAUCUAAAAUACUCGAAAAUAGAGCUACCGAUAACAUUCUCGAUGCAUAUCCACAAUAUCGUUAUGGAUAAUCCGAUGAAUCAAAUUUCCAGCAGCUCCCCCGUCAAACUUUACUUAGGUUCGAUAGUAUCGGGACCAACGACGAUUCACUUAAUUCGGUUUGUAUUGGAUUGGCAACUAAGAGAUUGCGGACUUUGUCAUUAGGUGGUAUUGACAAAAUCCGCAAUCACUUAGUUGCCAACCCAAUAGCUCUCGCUCGAAAUCAACAUUUUAAAACGCUUGCACAUAUGUGGCGCUUGGAAAUACAAGAAAUGUAUUUUGAAAUCCUAUAUCGUAUAGAAAGUUUUUCUGCUUCUACGACUAAUUGGAUUUCUGUUUACAGACAUUCCCUUAUUUACCUUUGCCAUUUUUCCCACUUGGCAGAUUCUAUUUCUUUGGUCGAAGGAUUUUCUAUAUGAACACCGGCGCCAAUAUCGAAGUUAUAUUUAUCGCAAGAGAAAGAGAACUGCGGGUUUCGUGGCCGAAAAUAUUACAUCAAAAGCGCAGAGGUUUCUUAUUAAUAUAAUAAUAAAUAUAUAUAUAUAUAUAUAUAUAUAUUAGUAAUAUAUUAACGAUAAUAGUCGACUAGGAAUUUGUAGUACACUCGAGAAAGCAAUUUCCUAUCGAUUUUAAGCGGCUUUUUACCAAAAUUACCGCAGACUGAAACUAUUAGCUUGUCCAAGAAGUUUCUUCCGUUUCAUAAGGAAUUAAUAGACGCGCGACAUUUUUGCUUUUAUAUUAUUUUAUCGAAUUAUGAGAAUGAACCGUUCUUCAAACAAAAUGAAUUAUACAUAAUUCGAUAAAAUAAUAUAAAGCAUCUGUUACUUGCUCAGAAAACGAAAGAUACUUUUUCGACAAUCUAAUAUAUUAGGUGAUCCCAUAAGUUCGUGCCCACUUUUGUGUACACAUUUCAUGUGUCGAUUUAUAAACAUACGGCGAUAAGGGACCAACGCACUUGAGCUUAGCUGAUCGAGAACAGGCUAGAGCAGAUUUUCGUGGGUAUAAGAUCGUAAUAUAGCGAACACAGUGACUUCUAACGGUAAAAAAUCACGAGUGAAAUGCGUAUCCAUUUUCGACAUCUCGUGUUAUGUGAAUUUCGGAAAGGAAGUUCUGUAACGAUUGCCACGAAAAACAUAUGUGCUGUUUACGGAGAAAAUGCGCUUUCAUCUCGCACCUGUAGCAAGUGGUUGCAACGUUUUAGAGCUGGGAAUUUCUGUUUAGAAGACGAGGAACGCCCGGGCGUUCUCCUCGGACGGACGAAGAUAAAAUUCGGGAUCUCGUUGAAAAAUCACGAAGUUUGACAGUUCAAGAGAUGUCGAAUGUUCUGAAAAUACCUAAGACAACGAUUCGUAGGUGUUUAAAAAAAAUAACGUAUAUAACCGCUCGAAAAACGGCACGAACUUAUGGGAUCGCCUAAUACUUUACGCGUGAUCUCUCGUUUCAAUUUUACGUCAAACGUCUCUAUGCAAAAGCAAAAUUCUCUCGCCGAAUAAAACGUCCGCGUAUUUAUUAACAAUGGCGUUCAUUCUUAAGCACGAGUACCUGCUUUUAACGUGACGAAAAGAAAAA